rnacentral:tRNA from 1 species
CCUGGUGGCUCAGCGGUAAGGAAUCUGCCUGCAAUGCAGGAGACCCAGGUUCAAUACCUGGGUCAGGA